ensembl:lncRNA
GAGGAGCCAAAUCCAAAUGUGGCCUUCUUGGAGAUCCUCAGCGAGUUCAGUUUUAAGUUACUGCAGCCGGACCGCGCCCAGCUAGCUGAGUUUCUGAAAUCGGCAUGUCCCAGCGCUGCCCUCUCCUGGCCGCCAGUCAAACUGUAUCAGCGUUCUUUGGAAGCUCGCGCCACCUCUAAAGCCACUGAACAGGAGGGAGAUGACGAAGUCCCUUCUCAUGACAUGCCUGUAGUGAAACGCAGGAGGACCACAGCUCAGGGUUCAGCGUCCACCACCAGAGGCUCCUGGUUGGACAACAGCAGCAUCCAGAGCAGCCUGCACACCCCAGCCCUCACCUCCACUGUCCAGAAGCAACCCGCCAAGCGGAUUGCAUCCAGGAAACCAAGACCCGUGGAGUCGGAUAUCAGCAGCACCUUAACUGAGCCGGAGUCAGAGGAUGAGUUCUCCCCAGGGUUACAAAUGCGAAAAGUGAAACUCAAUAAAAGACGGCUGGCUUCCUCCAGCAAGAACACCCCCUCUCCAAGGCAGCAAGACCUGAACUCCCACCUCAACUUGCUUUCCCUGAUUGAAGAUGACAUCUCAGAAAGAGAUGAGGACGAGAUUGAAGAUUAUCACAGUGACUCUGACACUGGAUACACACUGGUAAGAACAAAAAAACCCCAAAUACAUC